CAGUCGCCGCGGUAAUACGUAGGUGGCAAGCGUUGUCCGGAAUUAUUGGGCGUAAAGCGCGCGCAGGCGGAUCAGUUAGUCUGUCUUAAAAGUUCGGGGCUUAACCCCGUGAUGGGAUGGAAACUGCUGAUCUAGAGUAUCGGAGAGGAAAGUGGAAUUCCUAGUGUAGCGAUGAAAUGCGUAGAUAUUAGGAUGAACACCAGUGGCGAAGGCGACUUUCUGGACGAAAACUGACGCUGAGGCGCGAAAGCCAGGGGAGCGAACGGGAUUAGAUACCCCCGUAGUCCCUGUCUCUUAUACC
rnacentral:rRNA from 1 species